AUGAUUGCUGUGUCCUAUCUGCCGUGUGCUGGAACAUACCUAUCAGCUCAAGUUGCUCAAGUAAUCGGAAGGGUUUUGCACAACCAUGAGAGAAGAAUGCAGUCCAGUAUUUUCAGGAAGAUGGAUUCCAGCCCAUUAAAACUAAAAUUUCAGAAAGACAGGCACUCUGAUGUAUCAUCUGUCAAGAAGCUGGAUAUGGAAGCUGUCCAGAGGUGAAAAGCUGAAACAGAAUUUUGGGAAAUUUUCAUAAAAAUAAAUACAGAGAAGAAUAUUGUUGUAUUUUUCUG
rnacentral:lncRNA from 1 species